GUUUGUCUACGGCUGUACCACGCCUGAUCUCGCUGGAUCUCAGAAGCUAAGCAGGGUCGGGCCUGGUUAGUACUUGGAUGGGAGAAGUCCUGAAUUAGGUGAUCCUUGAAAGACAAACA
rnacentral:rRNA from 1 species